AGUCUGGCUCCCACUCCAAGAAAACCUCUCUGGGGUGACACUAUUGGUUUAUAAUCGUGAUUCCUCUGGGAUUUUACAUCUAGUCCUCAAAGGAACUAGUGGCAUUCUUUUCAUCUGCCUUGGCCCCUUUGCUCACUUGGCAGAACUCAGACCAGCUCUUGGGUGAAAAGGCCAGAGGGCUCCUGUUCAGCCCCAAUUGCAGCUUUAGCCACAUUACCACUUCUGCAGAGACUAUUACCAAGGCCCCUUUGUUGCCAUUUUCUGUCCAUCCACCAGAUGCCUUUGGACUUUCCCUACUUUACCAGUCACCUGACUGCCACACCCAUCUUCACGCAAGUUCCCACCUCCCUCAUCUACUCUGCCAACACAUUUUUACUUGCUUUCAUUUCUUCACUGCUUCUUGGUCAUACAUCUCUCAAGGUUUUUCACAAAUUCAAAAAAAAAAAAAAAGGCAGAAAAUCAAACCUGUUCCAGAAACUUGAAUGACAGACAAAAGUUUCAGAGUUGGUGUGCAAAUGCAGUUGACACAACGUGGGGUCAUAUUUACUUUUAAAUGUGCGACAAUUAAUAUUUCCUUGGUGUGCAAUGGCCUUAACUCGUCAAAUACCAGUGCUGGAUCAGUGGCUCUCUAUGUCAAACUAUGAUACUCUAUGUACCCCUAACGUCAUUUUUGGACACUCUGGGAUGGCAUGUCAAUAAUCACUCGUUACACGCAUUGUGUCAUUACAAAAUAAACUUCCCUUUUCACAGUAAAUGUAAAAUUUCAAUUCGUUAAAUUUAUACAAUCUCAUUUUAAAACAACAUCCCAUGUAGGUUGACUUCAUUUUUAGGUUUACUUCCUUAGGUUUAGGCAACAAAAGUACAUGGUUAGGCUUAGGAAAAAGA